UACGUAGGGUCCGAGCGUUGUCCGGAAUUAUUGGGCGUAAAGAGCUCGUAGGCGGUCUGUCACGUCGGCUGUGAAAACACGGGGCUCAACUCCGUGCCUGCAGUCGAUACGGGCAGACUAGAGUUCGGUAGGGGAGACUGGAAUUCCUGGUGUAGCGGUGAAAUGCGCAGAUAUCAGGAGGAACACCGAUGGCGAAGGCAGGUCUCUGGGCCACUACUGACGCUGAGAAGCGAAAGCAUGGGGAGCGAACAGG
rnacentral:rRNA from 1 species